UCUGGGAUAGCUCAGCUGGUAGAGCAUGAGAUUCUUGAUCUCAGGGUCAUGGCUUUGAGUCCCACACUGGCAAAA